rnacentral:rRNA from 1 species
AGCGAACGCUGGCGGCAGGCCUAACACAUGCAAGUCGAACGGAUCCUUCGGGAUUAGUGGCGGACGGGUGAGUAACACGUGGGAACGUGCCCUUUGGUUCGGAACAACUCAGGGAAACUUGAGCUAAUACCGGAUGUGCCCUUCGGGGGAAAGAUUUAUCGCCAUUGGAGCGGCCCGCGUCUGAUUAGCUAGUUGGUGAGGUAACGGCCCACCAAGGCGACGAUCAGUAGCUGGUCUGAGAGGAUGAUCAGCCACACUGGGACUGAGACACGGCCCAGACUCCUACGGGGGGCAGCAGUGGGGAAUCUUGCGCAAUGGGCGAAAGCCUGACGCAGCCAUGCCGCGUGAAUGAUGAAGGUCUUAGGAUUGUAAAAUUCUUUCAGCGGGGACGAUAAUGACGGUACCCGCAGAAGAAGCUCCGGCUAACUUCGUG